rnacentral:rRNA from 1 species
UAGCCGUAAACGAUACUCGCUAGGUAUCGGCCACGGUGCGACCGUUGUCGGUGCCGUAGGGAAGCCGUGAAGCGAGCCACCUGGGAAGUACGGCCGCAAGGCUGAAACUUAAGGAUUGGCGGGGGAGCACAACAACGGGUGGAGCUUGCGGUUUAAUUGGAUUCAACGCCGGAAAUCUUACCGGGACCGACAGCAACAUGAAGGCCAAGCUGAAGACUUUACCAGAAUCGCUGAGAGGUGGUGCAUGGCGUAGUCGUG